CUCUUAUUCAGAGUGGUGGAGGUACAUAGGACCUGUGAAGCCACGGCAACCCCUAUUCGGAAGGUGCCAACCUGAGCGAGCAAUCGAACAAUAAGAG
rnacentral:ncRNA from 2 species